rnacentral:rRNA from 1 species
AAGUCGAACGCAGCAGCUUCGGCUGGCUGCGUGGCGAACGGCUGAGGAACACGUGGGUGACCUGCCCCAGAGUGGGGGAUACCCCGUCGAAAGACGGGAUAAUCCCGCAUACGCUCUACGGAGGAAGGCCCCUACGGGCGCUCUGGGAGGGGCCUGCGGCCCAUCAGGUUGUUGGUGUGGUAACGGCGCACCAAGCCACUGACGGGUACCCGGUCUGAGAGGACGGCCGGGCAGACUGGGACUGAGACACGGCCCAGACUCCUACGGGAGGCAGCAGCAAGGAAUUUUCGGCAAUGGGCGCAAGCCUGACCGAGCAACGCCGCGUGCGGGAUGACGGCCUUCGGGUUGUAAACCGCUUUUCGGGGGGACGAC